CUUUUCGAGGUCGGCCGCGUGGCUGGAAGACAUGGCCACUCCAGUCGGUGUUGAGCACGGCGAGCAGUCUCAGGCCUUUAGUGAUGAUGAUUAAAGGUGGUGGCUGUGGCCUUGAAAACAGUCAUGUGAAAACUCAUCACCUUAAGGUGUUAAGUGUAAGGAUCUUCAUGAUGAAAUUUCUGUGCAGUCAGCCUCAGUUUCCAAAGCCGGAAAAGGAUCCUCUAGUAGCCACGGUGUGGCAGCUGCUCUGAACCAGGACCUGGACCCGGACCCAAAGUGCCAUGUCUUUAAUGUGAGUUAGCUCCCAGCGAUGCCAGAUGGGAUCAGCACAGCCCUGCCUCUGCUGCUAAUUGUUCCUCUAAAGUAAUCGCCAUGCGUUCUUUGGGCUUCAUCUUUAAAGGAAUGAAGCAACUGAGAUUAUUCUGGAAAACCUUUUGGCAGUUAGUGAAAUUAGAGUACAACUAAGAACAUUUUCAGACCU
rnacentral:lncRNA from 1 species